rnacentral:rRNA from 1 species
GACGAACGCUGGCGGCGUGCUUAACACAUGCAAGUCGAACGAUGAACCCGGAGCUUGCUCCGGUGGAUUAGUGGCGAACGGGUGAGUAACACGUGAGCAAUCUGCCCUUGACUCUGGGAUAACUGCGGGAAACUGUAGCUAAUACCGGAUACGAGGCUCGAAGGCAUCUUCGGGUCUGGAAAGAAUUUCGGUCAAGGAUGAGCUCGCGGCCUAUCAGCUUGUUGGUGAGGUAAUGGCUCACCAAGGCGACGACGGGUAGCCGGCCUGAGAGGGUGACCGGCCACACUGGGACUGAGACACGGCCCAGACUCCUACGGGAGGCAGCAGUGGGGAAUAUUGCACAAUGGGCGAAAGCCUGAUGCAGCAACGCCGCGUGAGGGAUGAAGGCCUUCGGGUUGUAAACCUCUUUUAGCAGGGAAGAAGCGAAAGUGACGGUACCUGCAGAAAAAGCACCGGCUAACUACGUGCCAGCCGCCGCAGUAA